CAGACAGCUCUGCACCGGAACCACGAGGCAGCCAAGCCCUCCUCAGAGGGUCAUCCCAGGACACCUCUGCCCAGCUCCAGAACCCAGGCCUGCAGUUCUCUACUUCCUGUCCUGCUGAAAUUCCUUAAGGACAGUGACGUGCAGCGCCCUUCACGGCCGCGGUAGCAGCCCAGCCCCGUCUCAGGGUCUGCAGCAAGUAGUCACUCUGCAACAGGAUGUCUGCUCCAGGAAUGAAUGCAUGCACGCAGCCUGAGCCCCGCGUGCCCUUCAAGGCUCUCCUCCUUCGGAAGCCCCGGGUCCUUGCCUCAGUUCAGCAGGAUAGCAGCAGGCACUUGCGGAGGAGACACAGCGUGCCAGGCGCUGCCCUGAGCACCGCGUACAGCCAACCGUCCACUUGGGGCCAGUUCCUCCCGACAGGCAGGCCCCGUAACCACCCCAGCAGUACUGGAGAUUGAACCCAGGGCCUUGUGUGUGCGAGGCAAACGCUCUACCAACUGAGCUGUAUUCCCAGCCCUGAAGGAAGAAAUGUGAAAGUCCUUUAUAAUCCUACCCCCAGAGGGAACCUCUAACCUUUUUUAUUUUAAUUAGGAUAUUUCUUAUGAUUGCAAAAGUCAUACACAUCUAAAGAUACAUCAGAUCAAACAAACUACAGCCUCCUUGUUUGGUUACCUUGGUGGGAGAAGCAUCUGAGUCCACGUCCAUCAAUGGAACUUGCCACAUGGGUUACCAGAUCUCCCACAGUUGACCACAAUGAUUUUUUACUUUAAGAGCUAACAGAAUGGGCAAGAGCGGUCCUGAAAUCCUUUAGAAACGUGAGUCAGGUCCCGGAGCUCUGAUCUCCAUGACCCACAUCCACACGGGAUCCACCUCACCCCUGCUAGCCUUCCUGGUGUUCCUUGGAGGGCCUGCCUCUGAGGUCUUUGCACCCCAAAGAGGCUUCUCUUCCUCCAGAUAUCAGCUCCACACCCUUCUGUCCUUCCUUCAGACCUUAAGGAGAGUUUCCUCUUGGUGAGAGCCAAUCUCAUGUGGGCCACCAUCCACAUGUCACCACCCCUCCUUGACCUGCUCCUCUUUCCUUCCAUGCCACACAUCUCCCCGAGACCCCCCACAUAAGCUGCUUGUGAUCUUGUCUCCUCUCUUUAGACCUUAGCCACCCAAGGACAGCGAGAUUGGCCCCUUUGUGCCUUGAUAUAACUGAAGCGCCCAGAGCAGUCUUGGCACACAGUUGGUGUCCGAUGUGUGUGUGCUGAAUUAGGAAGGAAACAGCACCCAGCCUCACCCACCCACCCUGUGUCUGCAUUAUUCCCAUGGGUGGCUCUUCUCAGCUGCUUUCUCAUGUCAAUCCAAGCUCUGCAAAGCUGGGAGUUCAGUGCACAGGGGUCUCCCAUUUUACCAGCGUGGGCAGUCUAACCCGCAGGGGAGAACCUUUUGCCAAAGGAAAGACUGCCUUCCAUGGGGCACUGUGACCCAGAGGCUGUCACACUGAAGCCCAGGAAUUCUGGAUGCAUCUUGCCAAGCUAAAGACACAGGAAAAAGCUCCCACGCUGCAUUCCCUGAACCCCAGAGCUGGCCGGGCUCCCCCAUUACACACACAGGUGGUGUCACAGACUUCAAAACUGCACAACCACCAAGAUGCAAAGGAAUAACUACGGCAUUCCAAUAUCCUCUGCUCCACCAAGAGGGAGCCCAGGGCAUGGGGCUCUUUGGCUCUUUUUCCUCCCCAGUGCAAUGUCCUGCCAAGGGCCAGCUGGCUCUCAGUCUCAUGCAGUCCCUGCUCCGUUUGGCACACAGGACGGUUACCUUAUUCCCCUUGCCAGAAAAGACAUUCAGUGUUCCUCUCCAGGAACCACCAAACAAGUUCAAUCCAGUAACAAAUUGGUGGUACAUACAGCUUGGGGAAAAAAUGGCCUCGAUGAGGAGGCCCAUUUCUCCUUGAGGCAGAGUGGCAUGGGGGUGGGGGGAGGGAGUCGAUCCAGGGCCUAGAGGAGAAACCUUAACUCUGUUGCUUGCAGCCAAAAGCAUCCAUGAUUGAGCUAACCCAAAUUGAUAUAUCAGAAGUAUAAAGCAUUCCAAGAAGCCUGGUGGCAGUAGGGAGUCCAGGGGUUGAUGAAAUGAUCAAGGAUGCCAUCAAAAACCCAGAUGCUACCCUUCUGUUCUACCACCCUUGGACCUCAUGGUCACAAGAGGGCUGCUGACAUUCAAGUCAACACUUGCACAUUCCAGGAGGAAGAAAAGGAAGGUGCAAGAACCCUUUUAUGAGAAAACAGUCUUCCCAGAAACAUCCACCUCCACCCAGCCAACUUCCACUCACAUCUCACUGGCCAAAACUGCAUCACUUGACCACCCCAGCAGCCAGGGAAGUGGAAAAGAUUCCACUGCAGAAGGAAGAAAUGUUUAGGCAGCAAGAAAGAAAUGGAUCAGUAAUUACUGAAGAGCCAACCGUCCGGCAACAUCUGCCAAACUAGGUAUAUCAUUUUCUAAUGUGACACCCUGUUUCUGUGGGAUUUCUUAUUACAAAAGCAAUGAUUUACAUUGUGACUUAGCAAAAUAAAAAUAUAAAGUCUCUACAAUCCCCAUCAUACAAAAGGAACCACUUUUCCCCCUGGGUAUCCUUGGAGCUCUUUGUAUUUUUUAACACAGAGACAACCACACUGUGGGUUGCUCUGUAAUUAGUCUUUUGAUAUUGUUAAAAAAAAUUGAUUUCCAAGUCACUGAAUGUUCUUUCCAGAAUCAUGUUUUAUGACUGCAUGUUCCCCAGAAUAAGGUGCUAUGAUUUGUUUAUUUAGUCCCUUGGUGUUAGGCAUUUUGAUGUUUAUAAAAUGUGGUGUUUAGAAAAUUGAGAAGACAACACUAACAUUUCUCCUCCUAGCUCAACUUUUGAUCCAGCAGUUCCCUUCUGGGAAUGUACCAUAAGAGAAGAAUCUUGGAUGUGCACAUUCUUUAGAACUUUUGAAAUAUCCUUCCAAAUUGGCCUCCUAAAAGGAUUUCUCCAUUGUACAAUCCAUCUAACAGAUAGGAGAACCCAUCUUCCCCCAGAGUUUCGCCAACCUGAGCAAUGGACAGGGGGAACAGGUCUAGGUAGUGAUAGCCUAGCCCAGCACCCUUAUUUCCCAGAUUGAGGGGAGAGAGAGAAACACUUGCAAAAGGCCCACAGCAAGAUCAGGAAACCUUGCCGAGAAGGUCAUUGGUUAGGACAGUCCCCAAGUAUGGAAGUUAUCCUGCACAGAUUUACUUCUGAUUCAGCACCUUGUUUCCACUCAAUCUAUGUGACCCUAGACUUUUCACUUAACUGUUUCUGGGACCAGUAAAAAGAGGAAGUAUGGCUCAGUGAGCUCCUCUUGCCAGCCAACAAGUCAGUUAUGGACUGAAUUAUGUCUCCCUCAUAUCACAUGUUGAAGCUUUAACCUGGAAUGGGAUUGGAUUUGGAGAUAGAGCUCAAAAGAGGUCAUUCAGGUUAGAUGAGGUCAUGAGGGUGGGGCACUAACCUGGUAGGACUGGUGUUCUCAUAAGAGGACCCAAGGAGGAGCCCUCAGAGGAAAAACCACAGAAGAUAGCGACGUGACCAUUUGCAAGCAAGGAUAGAGGCCUCAAGAGAAACCAGGCCCGCCUGUGCCUUCAUCUUGGACUUCUAGACUCCAGAACU